rnacentral:rRNA from 1 species
UACGGGGGGGCAAGCGUUGUUCGGAAUUACUGGGCGUAAAGGGCUCGUAGGUGGCCAACUAAGUCAGACGUGAAAUCCCCAGGCUCAACUUGGGAACUGCGUCUGAUACUGGAUGGCUUGAAUUCGGGAGAGGGAUGCAGAAUUCCAGGUGUAGCGGUGAAAUGCGUAGAUAUCUGGAGGAAUACCGGUGGCGAAGGCGGCUGCCUGGCCCAAUACUGACACUCAGGUGCGACAGCGUGGGGAGCAAACAGG